GACGAACGCUGGCGGCGUGCCUAAUACAUGCAAGUAGAACGCUGAAGGAGGAGCUUGCUUCUCUGGAUGAGUUGCGAACGGGUGAGUAACGCGUAGGUAACCUGCCUGGUAGCGGGGGAUAACUAUUGGAAACGAUAGCUAAUACCGCAUAAUAGUAGAUGUUGCAUGACAUUUGCUUAAAAGGUGCAAUUGCAUCACUACCAGAUGGACCUGCGUUGUAUUAGCUAGUUGGUGAGGUAACGGCUCACCAAGGCAACGAUACAUAGCCGACCUGAGAGGGGGAACAGGGAAACUGUAACUGAGACACGGGCGAGAAUCCUGCGGGAGGCACAAGUGGGGAAGAUUGGACAAUGGGCGAAAGCAUGAUGCAGUCAUGACGCGGGUGUGAAGAAGGUCUUGGGAUUGUAAAGCAGUGUAAGUGGGGAGGAAGGGAAGGAAGGUAAUACCUUGCUGUUUUGACGUUACCAAAAGAAGAAGCACCGGCUAACUUCGUG
rnacentral:rRNA from 1 species